UACGAAGGGGGCUAGCGUUGCUCGGAAUCACUGGGCGUAAAGGGCGCGUAGGCGGAUCUUUAAGUCAGGGGUGAAAGCCUGAGGCUCAACCUCAGAAUUGCCUUUGAUACUGAAGAUCUUGAGACCGGAAGAGGUAAGUGGAACUGCGAGUGUAGAGGUGAAAUUCGUAGAUAUUCGCAAGAACACCAGUGGCGAAGGCGGCUUACUGGUCCGGUUCUGACGCUGAGGUGCGAAAGCGUGGGGAGCAAACAGG
rnacentral:rRNA from 1 species